GCUAUGAUGAAUAAAAGGCAUUGAUCAGGUCUUGAACUGAUAAAGCCAUUUUGUCCUCUAAGAAGUUCUGAGCUU